rnacentral:rRNA from 1 species
UACGUAGGGUGCGAGCGUUAAUCGGAAUUACUGGGCGUAAAGCGUGCGCAGGCGGUUCGUUGUGUCCGAUGUGAAAGCCCCGAGCUCAACUUGGGAAUGGCAUUGGAAACUGGCGGGCUGGAGUGUGGCAGAGGGGGGUGGAAUUCCACGUGUAGCAGUGAAAUGCGUAGAUAUGUGGAGGAAUACCGAUGGCGAAGGCAGCCCCCUGGGAUAACACUGACGCUCAUGCACGAAAGCGUGGGGAGCAAACAGG